rnacentral:tRNA from 1 species
CGCGGCGUAGCUCAGUGGGAUAGAGCGCCUUGCUUCGACAUACCAGAGAUCCGCAAUCAAAUGGUAUGGGCAGGGGGGUCGCGGGUUCAAGUCCCGCCGCCGCAA